AGAGAACAACAACAUUUGCUGACAAAAAUGGGAAACCAACCAUCAAGUAAGUCAUUUCCUAUUCACAAAAGGAUCUAGAAAAUCCACAGUAUUUCUUACAUAAUAUACUGUCACACAUACAUCUUUACAUUGUUAUGCGAUCAAAGAUGUGUAUUUAAUUGUAAUGUUCUAUAUAUGGGAUGGAUAAGUCAAAGAUGACCUUGUGGUGGCAGUGAUUGGGACUUAAACAGCUGUAAACAGGCAAUAUUAGUCAAAUAAAAUAUACUGUAUGGUUGUUAUAUGAAGUUGUCAUGAACACAUGUUUCUGUUGGCUGUUUUUUGUGGUAUUCCUUUGACACAAUACUAAAGCACUAAUUACAUUUUGCUCUAUUUUUAUUAUUUGAUAUUGUGUUAUGGCUACUAUAAAUAUACUCAUAUCCUUUAAAGCAACAACUACUACAAUAGCACCAACAACAGUAGCAACAACAACUCCUCUUACAACCACAUACAUACCAACAACUACAUUAAUUGACCAAAGGUAUGUACCAGUGGAGCAGAUCAUUAUUGGCCUGGCCACCUGUAUUUGUGUUCUUAUGGUGGCUGGAUCAGGUCUGCUUGUUUAUACCUUCUGGAGAAAGACAGCUUUGGGUUGUUGUUAUUGAAAAUGAGCACACAUAUGCAAACGUUGGUAAAUCCAAGGCACAGAUGAUUGAUGACCACUUUAGUUACAGUGACCUGACCAUCCGAAGUGCUAACGCCAAACCCUCACCAGCCACAGAGAUGACUGAAUAUGCCAGUGUCAGAAUCCGCAAUUCUGAUGUUUUAAAUGUAUAAUAAUGCACAAACAUGCAUAUCUUCAAGUAUAAUGCUCUAAAGUCACAGCAGUGGGAGGCAGCUCCGCAUUGGAAUCUUUACAUUUAUUUUGAAUGAUUUUGAUGAGGUUACUAAACAUGUAACGUGUUUUUGAUUGCAAUGUUUAUUCAAGGCAAUUAUGUUUUGUAUCAUGUUUAAUUUAUUGUUAUUUAUCAUUUUAUCAUGAUAUUAAAGUAGCAUAUAGAGAAAAAUACACUGCAUUCCACAUAUUUGGUGGUUUUCUAACAAAAUGACCAAUAAUCCACUGUUUCUUAUAAAAAAAAUACAAAAAGUAAAAGUAAAGAAUACCUAAUUCUUUAUGGGAACACCUAGGAUCUGGUGUCAUUCAUUGGCACUUAAAUCGAUGAUCUGAUUUGAAGAGAAAACUAACUUCAAAUGGAGGCCUUUACUGCCCCCCAAAAAUCCUGCAAUUCUACACUUUUUGCCAUGGGGCAGGGAUUUAUUUUAUUCUGUUUUAUAGCUCAUCUCAUGCUGUUGUUCACAUUUUGUCAUGAGGCUGGGAGAACAUUUUGUAGUUUUAUGUUAAUUUCUUGCAAUUCUACAAAUGUUUCUAUCAUAUGCUACCAGGAUAGAUCUAUAGCCAUCUCCUGCCAGUGUAAUCCUUACUAUAGGCAGAACACAAAGUAGUGGUGUAGAGGACCUAGUUUAGAUUAUUGUCAGAUUGUGGUGAAGACCAGCAAGCCCAGAGUUACAGAAAGGAGCUACAUCAUGGAGGAUAUGAAUGCUGAGGUCUUCACUGUCACAAUGAGUGCACUGAGGCAAAGUGAGGAGGGGAGGUACUGGUGUGUCAUCUCCAGACCUGGGAGGAAUGUCUAAAGCUACAUGUCUUCUGCACAUUUAAUGCCACUCAGAUUGUCCUGCUGGAACAUCAGAACGUUUCAUCCACAGUGUUGUGAAACCAUGCAAAAAGCCAGAUCAGUAUGAUCUGCAUGAAGUGUACCAUUUCAUUUAAGAUCAACUAUUGUGUUCCUUCCACAUGGCUUUCUGUAGAAAAUGAGAAUAUGAAAACAAUGUACAGUGUAUGUCCUUGUACUUGAUCAUAUUGUAAAUUAUAAUAUGACAUUAACAUAUUUUACCAGGCAUAUCUUUUUCAACUGCUUCCACUGCAUCUAUCGAUUCAACAACAUUAGUGCAGGAGGAAAGUGCAACAUGGCGAGUCCUAAAAAAAUAACAUUUUCAAAGGGUAGAAUGUUUAGUUUAUAGGGGAGGGGGUCGGUGUCAGCCAUAGAAGUACGGCACCUGGAGCAAAUUAGGAUUAAGUGGCUCAAUCAAGGGUACAUCGACAGAUUUUUCACCAACAACAAUAUACAAUGUCUAAAUAAAUAGGCUACAUGUGUCUAUAUUAUGUGUGAGUAUAAUUUCAGGAGAUGGGUAGUCCUACCCCUCUUAGUUUUACAGUUUUAUAAAAUAAAAUCCAUAAAUCAUGUCAACAAGUCAACAACAAUGUUUCAUCCGGGACUUGGGUUGGGGUCCCAGCACCAAGAUAAUGAAUUAUUUGACAUGAGUAUUCAGAAGUCAAACUAUUGUCCUGGGUAGAGCUUUUUGAGUCAACGCGACAAAUUCAAGAUACAAGUACCAUUUGAACAGUUUGCUACUAAAGGAGCGGAAACAGCGUGGAGAUGUGGAAAUAGACAGCGAGGAAGAAGGAAAGAUGCUGAGUGUAGAGGGGAGUAGUGUGGGGAGGAAGAUUGGCGUCACCGGGAGCUCAGAAAUUCAACCUGAUGAGAGUGAGGAGGAAUUACCUGCAGAGACAGGUGCGGUGAAGACCGCUGAGGUCGAGCCUCGUCCCGAUGAUUUUCCCAGUGGUAGUGAGAUUUUUGGAGAGUAUGGUACUUGCAUUCUGGCUGAUCCAUAUGUGAUUGGGUAGAGAAGAGUUUGGGAACUGAAAUGUAAGAUUCUCGGUCUGUAGAAGAAGGGGACCAAAGCACAGCGUGGUGAGUGUUCAUAUUAAUGUUUUAAUAAUAAGAAACACUUCAAAGAAGAACGACAGCCAACAGUUCUGUCAGGUCACAAAAUGUACAAAACAGAAAAUAACUACCCACAAACCCCAAAGGAAAACAGGCUGCCUAAGAAUGACUCCCAAUCAGCGACAACGAUGUACAGCUGUCCCUGAUUGAG
rnacentral:lncRNA from 8 species